rnacentral:rRNA from 1 species
AUUGAACGCUGGCGGCAUGCUUUACACAUGCAAGUCGAACGGCAGCGGGUCCUUCGGGAUGCCGGCGAGUGGCGAACGGGUGAGUAAUGCAUCGGAACGUACCGUGUAAUGGGGGGAUAACUAGUCGAAAGACUAGCUAAUACCGCAUACGCCCUGAGGGGGAAAGCGGGGGCGUCGCAAGACCUCGCGUUAUACGAGCGGCUGAUGUCAGAUUAGCUAGUUGGUGGGGUAAAGGCCCACCAAGGCGACGAUCUGUAGCGGGUCUGAGAGGAUGAUCCGCCACACUGGAACUGAAACACGGACCAGACUCCUACGGGA